rnacentral:rRNA from 1 species
AACGCGAAGAACCUUACCUGGUCUUGACAUCCUGCGAACUUUCUAGAGAUAGAUUGGUGCCUUCGGGAACGCAGUGACAGGUGCUGCAUGGCUGUCGUCAGCUCGUGUUGUGAAAUGUUGGGUUAAGUCCCGUAACGAGCGCAACCCUUAUCCUUGUUUGCCAGCACUUCGGGUGGGAACUCCAGGGAGACUGCCGGUGAUAAACCGGAGGAAGGUGGGGACGACGUCAAGUCAUCAUGGCCCUUACGAGUAGGGCUACACACGUGCUACAAUGGCGCAUACAGAGGGCAGCCAACUUGCGAGAGUGAGCGAAUCCCAAAAAGUGCGUCGUAGUCCGGAUCGGAGUCUGCAACUCGACUCCGUGAAGUCGGAAUCGCUAGUAAUCGUGGAUCAGAAUGCCACGGUGAAUACGUUCCCGGGUCUUGUACACACCG